rnacentral:rRNA from 1 species
CCUACGGGGGGCAGCAGUGGGGAAUAUUGGACAAUGGGCGAAAGCCUGAUCCAGCCAUGCCGCGUGUGUGAAGAAGGCCUUCGGGUUGUAAAGCACUUUCAGUGGGGAAGAAAGCCUUGGGGCUAAUACCCUCGAGGAAGGACAUCACCCACAGAAGAAGCACCGGCUAACUCCGUGCCAGCAGCCGCGGUAAUACGGAGGGUGCGAGCGUUAAUCGGAAUUACUGGGCGUAAAGCGCGCGUAGGCGGUCUGAUAAGCCGGUUGUGAAAGCCCCGGGCUCAACCUGGGAACGGCAUCCGGAACUGUCAGGCUAGAGUGCAGGAGAGGAAGGUAGAAUUCCCGGUGUAGCAGUGAAAUGCGUAGAGAUCGGGAGGAAUACCAGUGGCGAAGGCGGCCUUCUGGACUGACACUGACGCUGAGGUGCGAAAGCGUGGGUAGCAAACAGGAUUAGAUACCCGUGUAGUC